CCUACGGGAGGCAGCAGUAGGGAAUCCUCCACAAUGGACGAAAGUCUGAUGGAGCAACGCCGCGUGAGUGAUGAAGGUUUUCGGAUCGUAAAACUCUGUUGUAAGGGAAGAACAGGAACGGGAAUUAAUGCUGGUACCUUGAGGGUACCUUGCGAGAAAGCCACGGUUAACUACGUGCCAGCAGCGGGGGUAAUACGAAGGGGGAAAGCGUGGUCCGGAAUUAUUGGGCGUAAAGCGCGCGCAGGCGGCCUUUUAAGUCUGAUGUGAAAGCCCCCGGCUCAACCGGGGAGGGUCAUUGGAAACUGGAAGGCUUGAGUACAGAAGAGAAGAGUGGAAUUCCAUGUGUAGCGGUGAAAUGCGUAGAGAUGUGGAGGAACACCUGUGGCGAAGGCGACUCGUUGGUCUGUAACUGACGCUGAGGCGCGAAAGCGUGGGGAGCAAACAGGAUUAGAUACCCGAGUAGUC
rnacentral:rRNA from 1 species